rnacentral:lncRNA from 1 species
CUGAACACAGCCACACUGUCCGCUGCCCUACCCUUCUGCUGCUCUGGAGUUCUGGUUCUUGUGUGAUACCGUCUUAUUAAGCUUUGGAUCAUCUCCAAAACAAGAUGGGCAAGAUGCAAAAAUGAAAACAGCUCCAACUCAAUUACCCCAAGGGCCAGGAGUUUCAGGAGGAGUCUGGUCACUUCUAGUGUCACCAUGAUGCAGUUAUGUGCAGUGUACAGAAACUAGAAAAUAAAGAUUUCCACCAAAUUG